rnacentral:misc_RNA from 1 species
AACGCACAUUGCGCCCAUCAGUAUUCUGUUGGGCAUGCCUGUUCGAGCGUCAUUUCCACCUUCAAGCCCUGGCUGCUUGGUGUUGGGGUGCUCUACGGCACUGCCGUAGGCCCCAAAAAUCAGUGGCGGUCUCGCUAGGACCCCGAGCGUAGUAGAUUUCUUUCUCGCUUAGGGGCGUCUUAGGGUUACUAGCCGUUAAACCUCCAAAAUUUUACAAGGUUGACCUCGGAUCAGGUAGGAAUACCCGCUGAACUUAA